GCAUAUCAAUAAGCGGAGGAAAAGAAACCAACAGGGAUUGCCUCAGUAACGGCGAGUGAAGCGGCAAAAGCUCAAAUUUGAAAUCUAGCACCUUCGGUGUUUGAGUUGUAAUUUGAAGAUGGUAACCUUGGGUUUGGCUCUUGUCUAUGUUCCUUGGAACAGGACGUCAUAGAGGGUGAGAAUCCCGUCUGAUGAGAUGCCCAUUCCUAUGUAAGGUGCUAUCGAAGAGUCGAGUUGUUUGGGAAUGCAGCUCUAAGUGGGUGGUAAAUUCCAUCUAAAGCUAAAUAUUGGCGAGAGACCGAUAGCGAACAAGUACAGUGAUGGAAAGAUGAAAAGAACUUUGAAAAGAGAGUGAAAAAGUACGUGAAAUUGUUGAAAGGGAAGGGCAUUAGAUCAGACUUGGUGUUUUACGAUUAUCUUCUCUUCUUGAGUUGUGCACUCGUAUUUCACUGGGCCAGCAUCGAUUCGGAUGGCAAGAUAAUGGCAGUUGAAUGUGGCUUCACUUCGGUGGAGUGUUAUAGCUUCUGCUGAUAUUGCCUGUCUGGAUCGAGGGCUGCGUCUUUUGACUAGGAUGCUGGCGUAAUGAUCUAAUGCCGCCCGUCUUGAAACACGGACC
rnacentral:rRNA from 1 species